rnacentral:rRNA from 1 species
UACGUAGGGCGCGAGCGUUGUCCGGAUUUAUUGGGCGUAAAGAGCUCGUAGGCGGCUUGUCGCGUCUGCCGUGAAAGUCCGGGGCUCAACUCCGGAUCUGCGGUGGGUACGGGCAGACUAGAGUGAUGUAGGGGAGACUGGAAUUCCUGGUGUAGCGGUGAAAUGCGCAGAUAUCAGGAGGAACACCGAUGGCGAAGGCAGGUCUCUGGGCAUUAACUGACGCUGAGGAGCGAAAGCAUGGGGAGCGAACAGG